rnacentral:rRNA from 1 species
AUUGAACGCUGGCGGCAUGCCUUACACAUGCAAGUCGAACGGCAGCGGACCUUCGGGUGCCGGCGAGUGGCGAACGGGUGAGUAAUAUAUCGGAACGUACCUUUCAGUGGGGGAUAACGUAGCGAAAGUUACGCUAAUACCGCAUAUUCUGUGAGCAGGAAAGCAGGGGAUCGCAAGACCUUGCGCUGAUUGAGCGGCCGAUAUCAGAUUAGCUAGUUGGUGAGGUAAAGGCUCACCAAGGCGACGAUCUGUAGCGGGUCUGAGAGGAUGAUCCGCCACACUGGAACUGAGACACGGUCCAGACUCCUACGGGAGGCAGCAGUGGGGAAUUUUGGACAAUGGGCGCAAGCCUGAUCCAGCCAUACCGCGUGAGUGAAGAA